UACGAAGGGGGCGAGCGUUGUUCGGAAUUACUGGGCGUAAAGAGCUCGUAGGUGGUUUGUCGCGUUGUUCGUGAAAACUCACAGCUCAACUGUGGGCGUGCGGGCGAUACGGGCAGACUUGAGUACUGCAGGGGAGACUGGAAUUCCUGGUGUAGCGGUGGAAUGCGCAGAUAUCAGGAGGAACACCGGUGGCGAAGGCGGGUCUCUGGGCAGUAACUGACGCUGAGGAGCGAAAGCGUGGGGAGCGAACAGG
rnacentral:rRNA from 1 species